rnacentral:rRNA from 1 species
AGAGGAGCUUGCUCCUUGGGUGACGAGUGGCGGACGGGUGAGUAAUGUCUGGGAAACUGCCCGAUGGAGGGGGAUAACUACUGGAAACGGUAGCUAAUACCGCAUAACGUCGCAAGACCAAAGAGGGGGACCUUCGGGCCUCUUGCCAUCGGAUGUGCCCAGAUGGGAUUAGCUAGUAGGUGGGGUAACGGCUCACCUAGGCGACGAUCCCUAGCUGGUCUGAGAGGAUGACCAGCCACACUGGAACUGAGACACGGUCCAGACUCCUACGGGAGGCAGCAGUGGGGAAUAUUGCACAAUGGGCGCAAGCCUGAUGCAGCCAUGCCGCGUGUAUGAAGAAGGCCUUCGGGUUGUAAAGUACUUUCAGCGAGGAGGAAGGCGUUGUGGUUAAUAACCGCAACGAUUGACGUUACUCGCAGAAGAAGCACCGGCUAACUCCGUGCCAGCAGCCGCGGUAAUACGGAGGGUGCAAGCGUUAAUCGGAAUUACUGGGCGUAAAGCGCACGCAGGCGGUCUGUCAAGUCGGAUGUGAAAUCCCCGGGCUCAACCUGGGAACUGCAUCCGAAACUGGCAGGCUAGAGUCUUGUAGAGGGGGGUAGAAUUCCAGGUGUAGCGGUGAAAUGCGUAGAGAUCUGGAGGAAUACCGGUGGCGA